AUGAAAAUGGACUUUUAUUAGAAAUAUGCAUCUUUUGAUUAAAACAUUAUAUCGUAAGCAUAAGAACAACAUUUAACAUGUUAGAAUCACAUAAAAAAUAACUUAAUAAAAAUAACAUUUUUAUAAACAUUAUAGUGAAACCAUGUCACUUUACAGUGCACUAACUCACUGUUACAGUGAAGUUAUUUAACUUCAACUUGGAUCAUUUCUAGUAUGUCAUUCUUUCACUAAAAUCUAUCCUAAGACUCAUUUAAGUGAAACAAACAGAGACCGCCCAUACACCCUCUCUAGGCACACCUAAAUGAUCCUUAAUACCACCUAUAAUGAUAUAUACACACCUACAAUACAUCAACCACAUAGGCAUGAGAUCGUCCUACCAUAGGGGAUUCGAAGGUUCACUUGUGUGAGUUGUAAAGUGACAGCCCAUACAAUCCCUUACAAACACACUUAAGAAAUACCAUAGAUUACCUAGGAUAAGAUCAUUCUCUCUUUAUACAACAACAUACAAAUAAUAUGACAUUCUCCCUUCUAGAGGUUAUCAAAAGACUUACUUAAGUAAAUAAACAAGAUAAAGUCCAUGAUUAAACUCUCCAGGAUUACCUAAAUAAUCCUUAAGACUACCUAAGUUUGGGUCAUGUUUAAAUAAUCACCCAAGUUCCCUAACUAGAUUCAUUCUUAAGACUUAUCUUGUAAGAUACAGAGUGACCAUUUCUAUGCCCCCUUCACACCAUAACUAGAUAACCUUUAACUACUCUAGAUAAAUACUUCUUUAUUUUAAAUGAUUUCUUACAUUAAGUCAUUACAUUCAUUAGUUUAUUUGAGACUCAUUCAUCAUGUAAGGACAUUCAAAUAAUGGUCUUGUUAAGACUUAAGGACUCUCACUAAAAUCUUCAAAGCCUGUUGUGCAAUGUCAAGAUAGCAUCUUAUACCACCACUUAAACUUCAUAGAAAUUCUCCAACACUAGUAGGUAUACCAUCUGAUGAGAAUUGGAAAUUAUCAGCAUAGAUCAUGGUAGCAAAGCAUGGAAUCAGGAGUUGUAACCUACUCUGUUAGAGGGUGUUCUACUUGAAAAUGAUAGAACUUGCACACAUCCCAUGGAGGCACAUGGUUCGAAAACAUGAAGGUCUUACAUUUUAAGCUAGCCUCAUCCUUGAAAUAGAGCCACAUCCCUUACCAUACUAACUCGGUGAGAGCGUUUGUCUCAUAGAGUUAUUUACAUUGAAAAAUCAUACAAAAGGGUUCCAUAUAAAGUUCAUAACCCAAUAACAUUCACCCUAUUCCAGGGCUACCGUAUAAUGGAGAUAAAGAUAACUCAUUAUAACUUUCCUAAGGAUGAUAUGAUCUGAUUCAACCCAAUCAAACUUAUGCCCAUUAUUCAUUACAACAAGGAUACAAUAACGACUUUUGACUUCAAGGUUCAUAAUCCUACCACUAGGUUCAAUGUUUCACAAAGAAUCCCCUUUAACAUCAUUCAAGGUCAGAUGUCAUUAAAUCAUUAAAGACUAAGAAGAUUUAUAAUCCUAAUUCAAGACAUAACAUAUUCUUUUUCAUACAUUUAUCAACUAAGGGACACAAGUUUACCACACAAGACAUAGCAUACUUCUCAUAUAACCUUUAGCAUGUCAUUCUACAAGCACAUACGCACAACCAACGUCAUCUUUAGGUCAUUCUAUCCACUACUAUAACAUCACCAAUAUAACAAUUAUAGACUCAUAUAAUAAAUUAGGAACAGCAAUGCAUUAUCAUUAAGACUAUACACAUAAGGACAUAAUCAUUGUCUAACAUGAUCACCUAACAAAAUCAAUACAAGAACACAUUCUUUCACAUUACUAACAUGUAGCUAGAAAUGAUCAUACUUCAUAUAAUAACCUACACACAUCAUCAUUAUAUAUCAAGUAAUACUAACAAGGACAUGAUCAUCAUAAUACAUAUAGUAAUGAGGAUGAGGCCACAUCUGUAACACUUCGAAAAUUCAAGAUCUGUUCUAGAGAAUAACACAAGUCUAAAAAGGUUUAUAAAUAGAUUUAAGGUCCAUUUUAAUUAAUAUAAUAUAUUUAGGAGUUAUAGAAACCAAGGCAACAUGUAACGUUCAUGACGUCUGGUAACUAGUUCAAGGAGGUGCUCACAUGCUUUAGCCUAUUUGACUAGAUUUUAGGGGUGAACAAUUAUUAAAUUUUCCAGAAGGGUGUCUUACCUCUUUUAGGGUUGAUUAAUAGUCAAAUUUAUUUUUAAUACUUUUUGAGGACCAACCAAGUGCCCUAAAGAGGACCCUUUCAUUUUGGGGUCAAAAGCAAUGCAUGUGCAGUGUGCACCCACAACGGGUGUCGACGGGGCAUGUGUGGAUGGAUAGGGCGUCGAUUCUAUCCGUAGACCAACACUUAUCCAUUUUGGAUAAUUUUCCAUGUUCACCAGACUCUGAACUCAUCGACGAAGUGCAGAAUGGCAGCGGGCAGGAGUUAUCUACUCACUGACCGACUGUUUGUCGAGGUCUCGUCUGUGAGGGCAUGACUAUGUUGAAUGUCUUUAGUUUGUUCCAAUUAAAUGAUUAAGGAGUUAAUUAGUUAUCUAGGGGGUUAAGGGAUGCUUAAUUAAUUUAAUUAACACCCCAUAUAAAUACCUCAACCCCAUUAGAAUAAUCUAAUCGAUAAGAACAAAAAAACCCAAACCCUCUUCCUUCUCUAUUUAUUCUCUCUCUCUCUCUAGUGAAUAAACUCUAUUGAAGAAUAAGAUAGUGGAGUGUCUAUGGGAUUAAAAUAUUAAUAUUUUUUCAUAAAUUUUAAUGAAUUAUUAUUGUAUGGGAUUCCUUUAACAUUCGGAACUCUUUCCUUAAGGGUUCCAUCAAAUUGAUUGCUAAAAUUGGGUUUUCAUCCAAAACAAAUUUGAUAUUGUGAAUGAUUUAUAUAUAAUUUAUUUUUGAUAUUAUUGAUAUAUUAAUAUGUAUUAUAAUAUAAAUAUGGUAUAUAUUAAUGGAUUGCUUUAGUUUGUAGAAGAUGAAACUUACACCUUAACCCUAAAUGAUGAUCGUUAUAUGAAUUGUGUAAUGUUGAUCCAGUUUACAUGGUUAUUGGUUGAAUCACUACUAGAUGAUGUUAUUGUAUAUAUCAUGAAUUAAUUAGGUUUAAUUAUAUUCCUAACAUUCUAGUUCUUGAAUAAUUGAAUUAGAUUAUGACUUAUAUCUAUAUCUGUUGUACUAAGCUAUGAACUAGUAUUUAAUUAUGAUGUAGUGAUUUAUUUAACAUUCUUAUCAUAUUGAUAAUUGAAUUAUUUUCAUGUUAUACCAUAAUUGGGUUGAAUAAAGGGUUGAUGGUAAGACCUAGAUGAUUAUUUAUGAAUGAGACUUGGUAAGUCUUGUGAUCCCUAUCCUUUACUUCAAUUAUGGUUAAUUGUGAUUAAGUCAUGAUGUUGUAUAGGAGUAUGCAUUAGGAUUGAUAGGGUGGUAUGAUGUUGAAUUAAAAUGUCGUGAAUUUGGAUUGUGAUAUGUUGUUUAAGAUGUAAAUGUUAUGAGGUUGGUAUAUGGCUUACUGUUUUGCCUUAUUAUGACGUGAUAUAUAAAUGUUCUAAAGUUACUUAUAUGAAUUGUAAUAAGGGAUUAUGAUCAUGCAAUUCUUAUUGAGCUAUGAUGAUAUUCAUAGAAGGGUUAGACCCUAUGAGAUACACUAAGUUAUUAUGAUUAAUAAAGACAUUAAGGACAUUUGAAAACAGCUCUAUCUUAGCAUAGAGUGAACUAGAGUGCGGAUGUCCCUUCCGACAUAUGGAAGGUUGAAUCACAAAUUUACUCUUGAUAUUGGAGACUACAAUGCAUGUAGCAUAAAGAGGGUCCCAAGUAUAUCUCCUAGUUCUUGAACUCUGUUUCCCCUAUAGGAGUACUAGCUAAUGGUUCCACGUAGUUGUUAUGUGCUUGUCUUGGUUCUACCUUGGCAAGUAGUCCACCUUCUUCCGUUGUGGGGUUCCAUGACACUGGAUUCCACAAUAGCUCAUGUGGUCUAUGUUGGUUAGGGUAAGAUGUUCCAAAUGAUAAAAUGAUAUAACAUAAUUAACUCUAACUAAAAUAACCUAAGGGGUUUAGCUUAGUGUAAGUACGAGUAUGGGACUCUACCUAAACAUUGCACUAGUUAUCCUUGAAGAAAGUCUUAGGAGGAUGAUCUUAUGUAUCAAAAUGCAUAUAAUGGUACAUGAUAUGUAUAUGAUGAACUUUCACAUUAUUGAUACUACAUGUUGAUUGGUGUUACUUAUGAAUAUGUUUAAUCUAUGUUACUAAAGUAUGAUAAUAUGUGAAGUGGGAGGUUAUCCAUGAUCCUAGUUGUGUUACUUGAUUGAAUAAGCCUAUGGGACAUUGCUUGUUCAUGGCACUUGUUGACUUGAUAGGGGUUGUGGCUAAUUGAAUUGCCUUGAUUAUGUUGAAUGUACUCUUAUUCAUGCUUGUUGCUAUAAUGACUUGAUGAUAUAGUUGGUUGACUAUGUAUCCAAUUCUAUGAUAUGCAUGUUCACUUGUCUAGACUUAGUAUUAUUAGUCUUAUUUAUACAUGCUUUGGACUUAAUGAAUGUGUCUAAGUGAUUGGUAUAGUCUUAUUGAUUGUGCAUAAAGUUUUUCAGAGUAAAUUGCAUACCUUUAUGAAAUGUCCCUUUUCUUAACAUGAUUUAAAGAUGUGUGCGCAUAUGGUCUUAUACUUAGUACAAGUGGUGUACUAACCCCAUUUUCUUCCUUUUCCCCCAACAUUUUAGGUUCCAUCGUUGAAGAAAUUUUGGAGACGACUUUAACAACGACUUGGAAUUCUUGAUCAUCAAAUUUUUGUAGGUCCUCACAUUACGAGGGAAAUGCCAAUACAUAGCUAUGAAGUAGUUUUAGAAUUAAGACUCUUAUGUUUCUUUCCUUUCAUUUGAGUACUAAUGAUUGUAUGACCUAUAUGUUGUAUUAUUGUAUUAAUAUAUGCGCUAGGACAAAUUUGAUAUACUUUUAUCUGAUGGUUAUGAGAUAUGACGACUAUUUUUAGACUAUGUUAUAUUCUAUAUAUUUACGUGAAAUAAAAGUAGAAGACUAACUAAUCUUCCUAUACGAAGUGUCUAUGUAUACUUGAUGAAUCCUCCUAGAUUUUGUGGAUCCAAGGUUGAACAAUACCCCCAAUAGUUCAAUGAUGAAAUCAACAAUAUUCUUUAUGCUAUGGGGUUGACAAUUAGUGAGAAGGCCGAGUUAUCUACUUACCGACUUAAAGACGUGGCCCAAACAUGGUAUGUCGAAUGCAAGAUUGGACCGGUGACUUAGGAAGUGUUCAAGAAGGCUUUAUUAAUUGAUUCUUUCCUAGGAAGAAGAUAAAAUAUAAAGAGGUGGAGUUCAUCAACCUUCAUCAAGGAGGUAUGAGUGUGCUUUAAUACUCCUUGAAAUUUACUAAAUUGUCAAAAUAUGUUCAUUCUGUGGUUUAUAAUCCUAGGGAUGAAAUAAAUCAUUUUGUGACAGAGGUGUCAGAUGAUAUGCAAGAGGAGUGUCAUUCAGCCAUAUUACAUGAUAAUAUGAACAUUACUUGUCCGAUGGUUCAUAAUCGACAUAUGGAUGAGGCAAGGGCUAAGAAGAAGAGUAAAGAUGCCAAGAGGGCAAGAUUUUUUGAUGGUGGUUCUUCUAAGGGUAGGCUUAAGAUUCAAGACAAGCGUAGGUUCAAGAAGAGGGUUUCUAAUCACGUUCCUCUCCAGUUCUCUUCGGCUAAGGAUAACAAGGUGUCUAACCCUAAGCCAAAAAUGGGAAGGGAUACUAGGUCAACAACAUAGAAGUCAACUUGUGGAAUGUGUGAUAAGAAGCACUAUGUUGAUUGUAGUAAAAAGGACGGAAAAAUGUUUUGGUUGUGGUAAAAGUGGGCACAAGGUUAGGGAUUUCCCAACUAUGAGGGGUCAAUACAAGGAUAGUAUGUACUCAAGUGGUUCUAAUGAUGCUCCGAAGAAGAAUUACUUUUGUGCUCUCCACUCUAAAUGUGAGCAAGAGACUUUCUUGAUUUGGUGAACCGUAUGUUGAAAGUCUUUUGCAUUAAUGUAUAUGCUUUAAUUGAUCCAGGUGCUACAUUAUCUUUUGUUACUCCCUUGAUAGCUAUGAAAUUUGAUAUCAUACCUGGCAUUCUAAAUUAACCUUUUAUGGUGUCUAUCCUGAUGAAUGAGUCAGUUGUGCAAAGAGGGUGUGUUGAGAUUGUCCUAUAAUGCUUCUUAAUAGAGUUACUUAUGGUGAACUAGUAGAACUUUAUAUGUUGGAUUUUGAUGUCAUAUUGGGCAUGGAUUGGUUGCAUGCAUUCUUUGUCUCUAUAGAUUGUAGAACAAGGUUGGUGAAGUUUAACUUUUCAAAUAAAAAUGUUUUAGAGCGGAAUGGGGAAAAUUCUAUUCCUAGGAGUAUUAUCAUGUCUUGUCCUAAGGCUUGUAAAAUGAUCUCUAAAGGAUGUUUAUACCAUAUAGUAAGAUACCAAGAUUUAGACUCUGAAAUUCAUUCUAUUUAGUCAGUCCCUGUAGUGAGUGAAUUUCCACAGGUAUUUCACUUAAACGAGAAAUAGAUUUUGGUAUCGACAUGCUACCGGAUACAAAUCCCAUUUCAAUUUCUCCAUAACAGAUGACUCCAGCCGAAUUGAAAGAGAUGAAGGAUCAUCUCAAAUAUUUACUACACAAAGGGUUCAUUAGAACUAGUAUUUCUCCAUGGGGUGCUCUAUUAUUGUUUGUGAAGAAGAGAGAUACUUCCCUUAGAAUGUGUUUUGAUUAUCGCAAACUAAAUAAAGUCACUAUUAAGAACAAGUAUCAUGUCCCUUAAAUUGACGACUUCUUUUAUCAACUCCAAGGGGCAAGCUACUUUUCUAAGACUGACUUGAGGUGUGGGUAUAACCAAUAUAGUGUGAGUGCUGAGGAUACACUAAAGACGACAUAUGCAACAAGAUAUGAUCACUAUGAGUUCUUAGUAAUGUCCUUUGGUCUCACUAAUUCUUAAGUGACAUUUAUGGAACUUAUUAAUAGGGUGUUUCAAUGUUACCUAUAUUCAUUUGGAAUUGUCUUCAUUGAUAACGUCUUAGUAUAUUAGAAAAAUGAGGGUGAUCACAUGGACCUUUUCAGGGUGUUGUUACAAGUGCUUAAGGAGAACCAAUAAUUUGACAUGUAUAGCCAAUGUAAGUUUUUGUUGAGAUUGGUGGCGUUUCUUAGACAUAUCAUACCUAGUGAGGGAGUUGAGGUUGAUCCAAGGAAAGUCGAGGCUGUCAAGAAUUGUCCUAGACCAUUGACUCUAACCUAUAUAAGAUGUUUUUUAGGUCAAGCGGUUUAUUAUCGGUGGUUUGUGAAUGGAUUUGCUUCAAUUGCAUCUUCCUUGACUAUUUUGACCCGAAAGAGUUAGAAAUUUGAGUGGUCUAAGGCAUGUGAGAGAAGCUUCUAAAUCUUGAAUGAUAGGCUUACUUCCACUCCGGUGUUUACUUUACCGGAGAGUACAAAGGGUUUUGUUGUCUAUUGUGAUGCAUCCCAAGUGGGUUUAUAGUGUGCUCUUAUGCAACAAGGGAAAGUGGAAGCCUGUGCUUCUAGAAAACUUAAGGUGCAUGAGAGGAAUCAUCCAACUCAUGAUCUUGAAUUAGAGGUCAUGGUAUUUGCCUUGAAAAUAUGGAUGCAUUACUUGUACCAUGUUCAUGUUGAUGUGUAUAAUGACCACAAGAGUCUCCAAUAUGUGUUUAAUAAAAAGGAGUUGAAUCUUCGACAAUGAAGGUGGUUGGAAAUUUUGAAGAAUUACGACAUAAGUUUUCUCUAUCACUCCAGCAAGGACAAUGUCGUUGUAGAUGCUCUUAGUCGUAUGUGUGUCUCAUAUAGAGGAAACCAAGAUAGGCCUAGUUAAAGAUUUUCUUAGGUUGGCUAGAUUGGGUGUUAGGUUUGAAGAUUCUCCAAAUGGUGUUUUCAUGAUCCAUCAUAACUCCGAGUCAUCUUUAAUAGUUGAGGUGAAGUCUGAAAAAUACCUUGAUAAAUCAUUGAUUGAGUUUAAGGAAUUGGUUCUAAGCAAGCUUAAUGAGUCAUCAUCCUUAGCGGGAAUGGUUACUUGAGGAAUGAUGGAAGGUUGUGUAUGCGUAAAAUAGAUGGUUUGAGAAACCAUAUUCGACAAAGAUGUACCACGACCUUAGGGAUGUAUUUUGGUGGGAAGGUAUGAAGGACAUAGCAGAAUUUGUUGCUAAGUGUACAAAAUACCAACAAGUGAAAGCGAACAUCAAAAGUCAAGUGGUUUACUUCAAGAAAUCAAGGUUCCUACUUGGAUGUGGGAAAAUAUCAAUAUUGAUUUUCUGGUAGGUUUUCCUCGGACACAAAAACAAUUUGACUCUAUAUGGGUGAUUAUUGAUAGGUUGACCAAAUGCACUCAUUUCAUUCCCGUCAAGUCUACUUAUUCAGCGGAAGAUUAUGCAAGGAUCUUCAUAGGUGAGAUUUUGUGUCACAUGGUAUUCCGGUAUCCAUUAUAUUGGAUUGGGGUGCACGAUUCACAUCUAGGUUUUGGAGGUCAUUCCAAGAAGUCUUAAGUACUAAGGGGAAGCUAAGCAUCCGCUUUUCAUUACCAAACAAAUGGUCAAGUGGAGUGUACUAUUUAAACCCUUGAAGAUAUGCUUAGGUCUUGUAUAAUUGAUUUCAAGGGAAAUUGGGAUAAGCAUUUACCUUUGGUGGAGUUUGCUUAUAACAAUAGCUUUCAUUCAUCCAUAUACAUGGAUCCUUAUGAAGCCUUGUAUGGUAGGAGGUGUAGGUCUCUUAUUGUAUUGUUUGAAGUGGAUGAGUAUUUAAUUUUUGUCCUGAUUUAAUUUAUAAGACUUUGGAGAAGAUUCAUAUCAUAAGGAAUCGGUUGCAAACUUCCUAUAGUCGGAAAAAGUCUUAUGUCGAUCAUAUGAGAAGGGAAUUAGAUUUUGAAGAAAGGUGAUAAAGUGUGUUUGAAAACUUUUCCAAUGAAAGGGGUGGUUAGAUUUUGCAAGAAAGAGAAGUUGAGUCCUCGUUAUGAGGGUCUCUAUGAAAUCUUAGAAAGGGUUGAUAAGGUUGCCUAUGAGUUGUGAUUGCCUAGAGAAUUAACUUCGGUUCAUCCGGUUUUCUAUGAUUCUAUUUUUAAGGAGUUUAUAGGUGUUCCCGAAUCUAUUGUUCCUAUUUGGGGGUCUUGGUAUGAAGGAUCACCUUUCUCAUGUGGAGGUUCAAGUUCAAAUACUUUGCAGGAAAGUAAAUAAGUUAAGGAAUAAAAAGGUGGCUCCGUAAAGGUGUUAUGGCAGAAUCACCGAGCUGAGUGUGCAACAUGGGAGGCCAAAGCAGACAUGAAGUCCCGUUACCUUUAUCUAUUUAAUAAAUAAUUUUAUUUGUUCUUUCUAAAAAUGAAAAUAAUGAGUGAAAUUUAUGUUUCUUAUUGUUCGUUAUGUUUUGCAAAAUAUGCAUUUUUGGUAUCAUUACAAUGAAUUACAGUGAGGUAUGCUAAUUAUUUGAAAUUUUCCUUGUUUUAGUUAUGUUGUACAUUUUUACAUGGUAAGUCUUUAUGAAAUGAUAUGUAGAAUAUUGGUAAGUUGAACUUUGACAUAAUUGACUCAUAUAUUCUAUGUUGAUCUCUUCUUGUUGUGAGAAGAAUAUUCCUCAUAAUGUAAUGUUGAGUAUUCUCUGUAGUUAUUGGAGAUUUGAAUUGCCUUUUGUAAAUAAAAUGGUUGAUUUUUUUGAAGUAUUUUUGUUGGUUUGGCUUCUUGUCUUGAGUAUAGUCCUUCCUUUCAAAGGAUUUUAGUGUCAUUCUUGGAAGAAUGUUCCUAAGAACGGGAUAAUGUAACACUUCAAAAAUCCAACAUGUGUUGUAGAGCCUAAUAUAAGUGUAAAAAAUUUUAGAAACUAUUUUAAGUUUCAUUUUAAUGAAUAUAACUCAUUUUGUAUGUCUAGAAACUAAUGUGUCCUAGAACGUCCAUGACGUCCGGAAACAAGUUCAUGGAGGUACUAGCGUGCCUUAGCUUAUUUGACUAGCUUUUAAGGGUCGAAAAUUUAAGAAAUUCUAGCGAAGGGUUUGUAAAUGGUAUUAAGGAUGAUUGAUGGUCGAAUCACUUGGGUAUGCCUCCUAAAAGACCAACCAAUGGCCCUUGAGAAGGCCCCUUUCGUUUAGAGGUUAAAAGCACUACCAGGGUAGUAUGCACCCACGCGGAAUCAACGGAGAAAGUGUGGAUUGAUAGGACAUCGAUCCCAUUCGUCGAUCAACACAUAGAAAUUUUGCCUAAUGUUCCAUUUGUACCAGCCUCUUAACUCAUCAUCGAAGUGCAGCACGGAAGGGGGCAGGAGUCGUCGACUUACAGACAAGUUGUUGGUCGACAUCUAGUCUGUGAGGGACUGACUUUGAUGCACGUUUGUAGUUGGUUACAAUUAAUUAAUUUAGGGGUUAUGUCAUUAGUAUGUGGCAAGGGUAAGUCUAAUUAAGUUAAUUAACACCCUAUAUAAACAUCCCAACCUCAAUAGACUAAUCUAAGCUCUCAUAACUCACAAUCCCAAACUCUCUUCCUUCUCUAUUCUUUCUCUCUCUAGAUUAAAAACCCCAUUGGACACCAAGCUAGUGGAGGAUUUAAGGGCUGAAAAGAUCCAAGUUUCUCCAUAAAUCUUCAUCAAUUAGUAAGCUGUAUUUAAAAAAACAUUAUGAUUUUUAGGGAUUUUUCCAUCGUCUCCUUUUAUCUCAGGAAUGUUACCGUCUUCUGAUCGUCGUAGCUCCGCAUUUUUAUAGUCAUGCUGCUGACUUAUAUUAGCUUUAGACUUCAGGUUAUCUUCAUUAGUCUUUAGCUUUUGUAUCUCAUUGUCCAUACUAUCCACUAUAGUACAAAGUGUAGUAAUGGCUUUAAGUCACUUUGUAAUUGUAUCUUCGUCUUUGUUCUUAGUCUGAGUAGCUUUGUCUUGAUAACUAGUUUGCAACACCAUUCUUAUUAGUCUUUAUCAAUUCAAUUGUAAAUGUAAAGUUUAAUAUAUUUAAUACCAAUCUUCUAAUUUCUUUUAUUGUUA